rnacentral:snRNA from 1 species
AAAUUUGUCUACUUUUUUAAAAGACUAUUCUGUUCGUAUCAGUUAAUAUCUGAUAUGUCCCCUGUCCGGGGAACAUACCGGUAUAUUAAAAUGCUUUUUGGAACAGAGUGAUGGAACAAGGGCUUCCUCUAUCCACUUUAUGUAUCAACCUGGUAUUGCAGCACUUCCGGGAAUGGUGAAACUUUA